rnacentral:rRNA from 1 species
GACGAACGCUGGCGGCGUGCUUAACACAUGCAAGUCGAACGGUAAGGCCCCUUCGGGGAUACACGAGUGGCGAACGGGUGAGUAACACGUGAGCAACCUGCCCUUGACUUCGGAAUACCAGCUGGAAACAGCUGCUAAUACCGGAUAUGACCUCGGCCCUCAUGGGUUGGGGUGGAAAGCUCCGGCGGUCAAGGAUGGGCUCGCGGCCUAUCAGCUUGUUGGUGAGGUAAUGGCUCACCAAGGCUUCGACGGGUAGCCGGCCUGAGAGGGCGACCGGCCACACUGGGACUGAGAUACGGCCCAGACUCCUACGGGAGGCAGCAGUGGGGAAUAUUGCACAAUGGGCGCAAGCCUGAUGCAGCAACGCCGCGUGCGGGAUGACGGCCU